GAUGAACGCUAGCGGCAGGCCUAAUACAUGCAAGUCGAACGGGAUUAAGAGGCUUGCUUCUUAUGAGAGUGGCGCACGGGUGCGUAACACGUAUGCAACCUACCUUCAACUGGGGGAUAGCCUUCCGAAAGGGAGAUUAAUACCGCAUAAUAUAAUUGAGUGGCAUCACUUGAUUAUCAAACGUCAGGGUUGAAGAUGGGCAUGCGUCCGAUUAGUUUGUUGGUGAGGUAACGGCUCACCAAGACUACGAUCGGUAGGGGAUAUGAGAGGAUGGACCCCCGCACUGGUACUGAGACCCGGACCAGACUCCUACGUGAGGCAGCAGUAAGGAAUAUUGGUCAAUGGACGGAAGUCUAAACCAGCCAUGCCGCGUGCAGGAAGACGGUCCUCUGGAUUGUAAACUGCUUUUGUUAGGGAAGAAGCACUCCCUCGUGAGGGAGCUUGACGGUACCGUAAGAAUAAGGAUCGGCUAACUCCGUGCCAGCCGCCGCGGUAACAC
rnacentral:rRNA from 1 species